UACGUAGGGUGCAAGCGUUGUCCGGAAUUAUUGGGCGUAAAGAGCUCGUAGGCGGUCUGUCGCGUCGGCUGUGAAAACCCGAGGCUCAACCUCGGGCCUGCAGUCGAUACGGGCAAACUAGAGUACUGCAGGGGAGACUGGAAUUCCUGGUGUAGCGGUGAAAUGCGCAGAUAUCAGGAGGAACACCGGUGGCGAAGGCGGGUCUCUGGGCCAUAACUGACGCUGAGGAGCGAAAGCGUGGGGAGCGAACAGG
rnacentral:rRNA from 1 species